CUGCGCCAACCGCAAGGAGGCAGGCGACCACGGUAGGGUCAGCGACUGGGGUGAAGUCGUAACAAGGUAGCCGUAGGGGAACCUGCGGCUGGAUCACCUCCUUUCUAAGG
rnacentral:rRNA from 1 species